rnacentral:rRNA from 1 species
UGGGGAAUAUUGGACAAUGGGCGAAAGCCUGAUACAGCCAUGCCGCGUGUGUGAAGAAGGUCUUCGGGUUGUAAAGCACUGUAAGUUGGGAGGAAGGGCAGUAAGCGAAUACCUUGCUGUUUUGACGUUACCGACAGAAUAAGCACCGGCUAACUCUGUGCCAGCAGCCGCGGUAAUACAGAGGGUGCAAGCGUUAAUCGGAAUUACUGGGCGUAAAGCGCGCGUAGGUGGUUCGUUAAGUUGAAUGUGAAAGCCCCGGGCUCAACCUGGGAACUGCAUCCAAAACUGGCGAGCUAGAGUAGGGCAGAGGGUGGUGGAAUUUCCUGUGUAGCGGUGAAAUGCGUAGAUAUAGGAAGGAACACCAGUGGCGAAGGCGACCACCUGGGCUCAUACUGACACUGAGGUGCGAAAGCGUGGGGAGCAAACAGG